AUUGAACGCUGGCGGCAUGCUUUACACAUGCAAGUCGGACGGCAGCACAGAUAUGCUUGCUUCUUGGGUGGCGAGUGGCGUACGGGUGUGUAAUAUAUCGGAACGUACCGAGUGAUGGGGGCUAACUAAUCGAAAGAUUAUCUAAUACCGCAUAUUCUCUGAGGCGGAAAGCAGGGGACCUUCUGGCCUUGCGUUAUUCGAGCGGCCGGUAUCUGAGUAGCUAGUUGGUUGGGUAAAGGCCUACCAAGGCGACGAUCAGUAGCGGAUCUGAGAGGAUGAUAGGACACACUGGGAGAGAGACACGGCCCAGACUCCGACGGGAGGAAGCAGUGGGGAAUUUUGGAAAAUGGGAGCAAGCAAGAUCCAGCCAUGCCGCGUGGCUGAAGAAGGCCAUCGGGUUGGAAAGGAGAUUUGUCAGGGAAGAAAAGGCUGUUGCUAAGAACGACAGGUGAUGACGGUACCUGAAGAAUAAGCACCGGCUAACUACGUG
rnacentral:rRNA from 1 species